UUGUUUCCAAGCUCUCCUUCCAACAAUUUCAGGCACUCAAUGAACUCUUUCUUUGCUGCUUCUUGUUCUUCUCCCUUUGUGGUCCAUACUUUCCCACUCUCUAAACCAUAUAUCUGCAUUUCAUUUACCAUUAAUUUAUCCAUACAAGAUAAAUUUAAAUGAUUUCAAUCAUAUAAUACUAAAUUAUGAAAAAUAAGAAUUUAAAAAAAAAAAUAAUUCGUAAAAGAUAUUGAAGCUAAACCUAGAUUAGUAGCCUAGGUAAACCAUUUAGUUUAGUCUCUUAAGAGACACCUACAAGAGUUCAAAAGCUUAAUCUCCAAGGCUACUUGGGUUCGAAUAUAAAAUAUCAAAACAACAUAUCUUCUAAUUAUCACAAUUACCCAAAAAGGAAAGCAAGUAAAACACAAGAAAAUUCGAACCGAACCAAAUCAGCCUCUGCAAGCAGUGCUUAAGCUCAAAAGUUAAAGGACAGCAAGGCAAAACAAAAACUCAUAAAAAUGAAAAGGAUAAGAGAGAACCUUCUUGUCAACAAAAUCUCCCCAAAACCUAGCGAUGGCUCUUUGGUAAGGAUCAGUAGGGAGUAGGGGAGAUUUAUGCGGCCAAAUCUCAUCAAUGUAUUGAACCUGAACGAGGGACUCACAAACAGGUUUUCCAUUAUGGAUUAGAACAGGGAUUUUCUUAUGAAUAGGGUUCAUCUUCAGAAGCAAAUCACUCUUGUUCCUCAAAUCUUCUUCCUUGUACUCGUAUUUUAUCUCUUUCUCAGCCAGAGCAAUCUCACUCUCAUCCCAAAAGGACUUGGCCAGAAAUCCAACAAUACUACAUCUUCAUCAGCCAUUUUUUGAAUCUCAAAAUAAAUUCAAAAUGAUUUAAACUCUUUGUUCUUAGGUUCUAAUGUCAGAAACUGAAGGGUUUUGCCAUCAUAUUUAUAGACAAAGAGUUUAGACAAAGAGUUUAGGCUGUGUUCUUUAUUGCUUAAAAGAUGAGCUUUUACCUGGAAAAUUACAUUUCUUUGAAAAGCAAUAAAGAAAAGUCUUCAGUUGGUAGCAAAUUCCCAUCUUACAUGCGUAACAGUUCUUAAAUUUAAGUUUCAAAGCAUAUUUUAAUGGAUGCCCCCUUAUUGAAAUCAGAAAAAAGGAUAUAUCAUUCGGUCAACAGAUAUUAUAUGUCAUAUGUCAUUGCUUACAUCACUUUGUCCAUAAUUGUUUUUUUAAAUUUGAGAUAAUAUAUAAUUUGGCCCCUAAAUUUAUUUAUUUGUAUUUAAUUGGUCCUUAAAAAAAUUUUGACCUAAUUGGUCCCUAAACUUGUAUUUCGUCAACCAGGUUGAUACCUCUAUAUUAACUCUAUUAGUUUGUAACAUGACACUACUAGCUAAUCCGUUGGUGCCAUAUGGCGGCCUCUCAAAAUACUAAUCCGAGAGAAUACCAAAAAAUAUGAGAGAUACCAAAAAUGAUGAGGGAAUAUUAAAAAAAUAUGAAGAAAUACCAAAAUUAAGAGGAAAUACCAAAAAACAUGAGGGGAUGUCAAAAAUUGUGAGGAAUACCAAUUUUUAGUUUGCCUUUGGAAAUUAUUUUCAUUUAUUUAUUUUUCACAUUUUUUAAAAAAUUAUCAUGAAAUAUAAUUUUUCAGUACCAAAUUUUAGCAUUAAAAAUAAUAAUUUAAGAGUAACAAUUUUUUUGGUUACAAAAUCCUAUAGAAAUUUCUUAAUAUUUAAAAAUAUCAUUUUUAUUUACUCCAAAAAUAUGAAGAAAUAUAAAAAAAAUAUGAGGAAAUAUCAAAAAAAUUGAGAAAGUACCAAAAAAAUAUGAGGAUGUACCAAAAUUUAUGAGCAAUUAUUAAAUAUUAUAAAGGAAUACCAAAAAACAUAAGGGGAUGUAAAAAAUUAUGAGGAUACCAAUUUUUAAUUUGUCUUAGAAAUUUUAUUUAUUUAUUUUAUUUUCAUAUAUUUUUUAAACUAUCAUGAAAUAUAAUUUUUUAUACCAAAUUUAAGCAAUAAAAAUAAUAAUUUAACAACUACAAAUUUUUGACGUUAUACAAUCCAACAAUGUCAAGAAAAUAAUUACAAAGGGGAAGACGUAGAAGAAUAGGGGAAGCAAUUCUUCUUUAUGUUGAAAAGGAAAACCAAAAUUCUAAUAUGAUUAGGAAGGGGAUUAAAUGGUUAGGUUAAACAAAUUUUAGAGGGCUAUUUUGAUAAAUUACUUAUAUUGUCGAAAGUGAGAAAAAAUAAAGAGAGUGACGUGGAUAAAACUUAGGAAACUAAGGAGAAUGAACCGAUACUUAACUAUUGGGUUGCUGUCCAUACUUGGUUAUUUUCUACUAUAUUUAAUAUAUAUUCUAGGUGGCCUUGGUCUAUUCGUUGUUGAAAAAAAAUAGAAGAGAAAUGGAAAUAAUGAGAUUUGAACCUAAGAUCUUUUAAGAAUAAUUGUAGCUACAUAAUCAUCAAAUCUAAGUCAUUUUCAACUUAUUAAUUAACUUUCUAGCCUAUGAAUUUUGAGUGUUACACUUUCCUAACAAAAAAAAAUCCAUUAAGUGCAAUAUUAGCCAAACUUUUUUUGUAAUCCAAAAUUGGACAACCAAGUUGAUAAUGACAUUAGAGAACAAAAACAACACAAAACGACAAUAACAAUACACAAAAUAUAUAUAAAAAUUAUAAUUAAUUUCACUCCUUAAAACAAAACAAAAAUCAAAUCACCAUCCAAAGCACAAUCUUGAAAUGUGUUGUAAGCACAAUAUUUCACUCAAUUUUGAACACUUUCUUCAAAUGCAAAACAAAGCCAUAGAUUUUGUCUUGAUCAGGCAGGGACUUGGAAACACAGUCUUUCUCCAUGCACCUUUUAGCCCAUGCAAUUAACUUGGGGCACUCUGUUUCAAUGCUAAAAUUCCCACGCUUUUCAUAGGCACCAGCUGUAAAAUGGAACCAACACAACAUCAACGUAACCAAGAUUCUCCCCACCAAAAUAAGCCUUGUUUCCAAGCUCUCCAUCUAACAAUUUCAGGCACUCAAUGAACUCUUUCUUUGCUGCUUUUUGUUCUUCUCCCUUUGUGGCCCAUACUUUCCUUCCUAGAUCAUAUAUCUGCAUUUCAUUGACCAUUAAUUUAUCCAUACAAGAUAAAAAUUUAAAUGAUUUCAAUCAUGUAACAAUAAAUUAUGAAAAACAAGAAUUUAAAAAAAAUUAUUUCGUAAAAGAUAUUGAAGCUAAACCUAGAUUAGCAGCCUGGGCAAACCAUUUAGUUUAGUCUCUUAAGAGACACCUACUAGAGUUCAAAGCUUGGUCUCCUAGGCUACUUGGAUUCGAAUAUAAAAUAUAAAAACAAUGUUAUCAAAAUUACCCAAAAAGGAAAGCAAGUAAAACACAGAGAAAUUCGAACCCAAGCAAAUCAACCUAUGCCAGCAAUGUUUAAGCUCAAAAGUUCAAAGGCAGUAAGGCAAAAAAAAGAACCCAUAAAAAUGAAAAGAAAGAGGAGAGAACAUUCUUGUCAACAAAAUCACCCCAGAACUUAGCAAUGGCUCUUUAGUAAGGAUCAGUAGGGCGCAAGGGAGAUUUAUGCGGCCAAAUCUCAUCAAUGUACUAAACCUGAAUGAGGAACUCACAAACAAGUUUACCAUUAUGGAUAAGAAUAGGGAUUUUCUUAUGAAUAGGAUUCAUCUUUAAAAGCAAAUCACUCUUGUUACUCAAAUCUUCUUCCUUGUACUCGUAUUUUAUCCCUUUUUCCGCCAAAGCAAUCCUCACCUCACCCCAAAGGGACUUGGCCAGGAAUCCAACAAUACUACCUCUGAUCUCCCCUUUUUUCAAACUCAAAACAAAUUCAAAACGAUUUGAACUCUUUAUCUUUAGGUUCUAAUACCUGAAACUGAAGGGUUUUGCCAUUGUAUUUAUAGACAGAGUUUAGAGUUAGUGG
rnacentral:lncRNA from 1 species